GACGAACGCUGGCGGCGUGCCUAAUACAUGCAAGUAGAACGCUGAAGGAGGAGCUUGCUUCUCUGGAUGAGUUGCGAACGGGUGAGUAACGCGUAGGUAACCUGCCUGGUAGUGGGGGAUAACUAUUGGAAACGAUAGCUAAUACCGCAUAAUAGCAGUUGUUGCAUGAUAACUGUUUGAAAGGUGCAAUUGCACCGCUACCAGAUGGACCUGCGUUGUAUUAGCUAGUUGGUGGGGUAACGGCUCACCAAGGCGACGAUACAUAGCCGACCUGAGAGGGUGAUCGGCCACACUGGGACUGAGACACGGCCCAGACUCCUACGGGAGGCAGCAGUAGGGAAUCUUCGGCAAUGGACGGAAGUCUGACCGAGCAACGCCGCGUGAGUGAAGAAGGUUUUCGGAUCGUAAAGCUCUGUUGUAAGAGAAGAACGAGGGUGAGAGUGGAAAGUUCACACUGUGACGGUAUCUUACCAGAAAGGGACGGCUAACUACGUG
rnacentral:rRNA from 1 species